rnacentral:lncRNA from 1 species
UAUUUUCUUUUUCUUUUUCAUGUUUUCCUCUCUUUUGUUUCCUAUUUUCUUUUUACUUUCGUGAGUUUGCUUUUCUUGCUUUUUUUCCCAUUAAUUUUGUUGUUGUUGUUUCAUUCGUCUUCGGUGUAUUUGUUGGGAAUUUGUCUUUCGAUCUUUGGGUAAGGUGUGGUGUAAGUUUUGUCAAGGCAUUUUUUUCUAUUUUUAUAGUCUUAUUUUGUUCUUGAAUAAUGUUAGAGUUCUUGGUGUUAAAUUACUUUCCGUGGUUAUAUUAAGUGUUUCUUAUGGUUUGUUUAGGCAAAGGUUGUGAGAAUCAAUUACCUCCAGUGGAGUAAGUCUC